AGAGAGGUGGCCGAGUGGCUUAAGGCGCACGCUUGGAAAGCGUGUAUACGUUAAUAGCGUAUCGAGGGUUCGAAUCCCUUCCUCUCUG
rnacentral:tRNA from 1 species